AUUGAACGCUGGCGGCAGGCCUAACACAUGCAAGUCGAACGAGUGGCGGACGGGUGAGUAAUGUCUGGGACACUGCCUGAUGGAGGGGGAUAACUACUGGAAACGGUAGCUACUACCGCAUACCCUCGGAUGUGCCCAGAUGGGAUUAGCUAGUAGGUGGGGGAACGGCUCACCUAGGCGACGAUCCCUAGCUGGUCUGAGAGGAUGACCAGCCACACUUGAACUGGGAAAAGGUCCAGACUCCUACGGGAGGCAGCAGUGGGGAAUAUUGCACAAUGGGCGCAAGCCUGAUGCAGCCAUGCCGCGUGUAUGAAGAAGGCCUUCGGGUUGUAAAGUACUUUCAGCGGGGAGGCGUUACCCGCAGAAGAAGCACCGGCUAACUCCGUGCCAGCAGCCGCGGUAAUAC
rnacentral:rRNA from 1 species